ensembl:lncRNA
UUUUUUCUUUUUUGGGAAGGGAUUUUACCAGAAGAGGGUGGCUGCCCCUCUGAGUUACUGGCUUCAGUUAUUUAUUUGUAAAUGCAGUUCUUUUAUUUCUAAGGCUUCCUUUGCAAAACUCUGCAACUAAGUUGAAAAAUUAAGUUAUGUGCUUCUAGAGGAGAGAACAGAAGGUUUAGGAAGGAACUGCUAUUUCAAGCAGAAACCUACUACCUAUGUUAUCUUAGAUGUUCAGCAUCCUCAGACUAGAAUAUAGUCAAGAAACAUACUCUUUGCCAAGCUUUAGCUAAAUAGCUGUCCUUUCUGCCAUUGAAGGCUGCUUCUAUAACCCUAGGUGCAGAUAUCAUGUUUUAUAAUUGGGUCAAAUGUUAUCUGUCUUUCUUAGUGACUUGUAGGAAGAGCAUUGGAGAAUUGUGUUCUUGUUGUUUCGUAAUCACUUUGUAAAGAGCAACCACCUUGAAUGUGGCCUCCUCAGCCCCUGGACUUCUUGGAGGGGGAUUAAUUGACUCACAUGCAUGAGAUUAUCUAUGUAAAUAGUAGAACUGGGGAGAAAAUCAUGGAGGUGUCUGGUCUAACUGCACAUUGAAGGCACAUUUAGUGCAGGCCCUGAAAUUGCUUAUUAUAUCUGAGCCAUUUGAACGAAUCAUAGAAUCAUAGAAUUGCUCAGAUUGGAAAAGACCUUAAAGAUUAUUGAGUCCAACCACAACCUAACCAUACUACCCUAACAAACAACCCUCUGCUAAAUCAAUGAAUGCAUUUCAGUUAUAGUCUUGCUUUGUAUCUGCUUUUAUAUCAUACAUCUUUAUAACUCACAAGUAUGUCCCUAUAACAAGCCUAUAAUAUUUGAAUUUAUAACCGUAUAGCCCUAUAAAAUUUGCCUUUCUAAGAGAUGGAAGAUAGUAACUAAUCACUAACAGGCGAAACACCAUGAUCCCACCCACCCUCUGACUACAAUGCUUCCUAGAUGCAAUAGGUGAAGAAAUUAUUUCCUUUAGGCUGUAAUUCAAAAAGAGGAAGUACCAAAGCACGUCUAAGAUCAGUGCAUUUUUUUUUCUUCUUUUCAAAUCUUCCUUUGUAUAUAAUUUUUUAAUCUGAAAGUUGUCGAUUCCUACACCAGGGACAACGGAAAUGUAAAGAAGAGAUAAGAAAUCAAGCAAAAAUGUUAUCUUCUUCUAUUGGUAUGGCCAGUAAAGUAAUUAACAAGUAAUUAACGAGCUAUUAGCAGUCAGUUGAAGCUGACUUGUAGUGACCACGGCCAUCAGAAGCUAAGGUAGGGAAGGCAGAAAAAAGAGAAACUGGAGGUUUGCAGUCAUUGAUAGAAAAUAAAUUGGUUGGUUCUACCCCUUUACAAUAAAUUGUCAAGUAAGCGUAUUUCAUGCUCCCCAGCUAGCAGUGCUGACUGCAGGAAAACAAUGAUUUAGGGACUUCCCAUUUUCCCUCACCAAAAUCUUAAUCUUCAGAAUAACAUAUUUUCUGCAAAAGCCAUGAGAGAGGAACUGAGAAAACAGCUAGUUGGACACCCAGGCUGUUGGAAACUACCUGCAUGAAAAUCUGCAUACAUCCACACUUCCUCACUUUUUAUUCAGCGUGUGAAAAAAGGCUGGAAGCAUAGCAUGGUCUUUUCAUUGGUCUCCCAGCACAAUAGGAUAAGGGAAGCUGCAUCAUCUGAAUGCUGAAACUAUUGAUUAGAUCUCGCUUUAUGAACACUCGCUUGAAAGAGUCAAGUUUUAGGAUGUAACUUUAACUAUAAUCAAUCUAAUAACAUUUAUUAUUGCUGUUAAAGAAAAAUACAGCUCUUUUGAGAGUUCUAAUGGAGUUUAGGUCCUGAGCUAGGACCACGCUAAAAUGUCAAAGUGGCAUUUGCCAUGAUGCUUUACACCCGGAAGGCAAGGAAAUGACCACUGUGAACAUAAAAUUAGUGAGAAAGGAUGCAUUUAAUGGUAUCAGAAAACAGUGACAGAGCAAGUACAGAAGCAAUACAAUCCUGUACAAGCUUCCCAUAGAAGUGCAGGAGUUGAGUGGUUUUGAAAAGAUUAAUGGUGAGGGUACUGACUUACUGUGACAGCUGUCAGUGUGGGGUGGAUACCUGCCACACAAAACAAAACAGAAAUUAGCAUUUCCUUUAGAACUGCUGAACUAGCCACAGGUUCAGAGAAACGAGAAAGGGGAAAACUAUGUGAGCAUAUUAAAAAUCCCAGAGUAGUUAUUUGGACUUUGGCGUGCCUGCCUAUCACUGAAAGGGACCUGAAACUGAAGAAAGCUCUUAGUUAUGGCACACUAUGUUUUAGUAUGUUCAGAUUGUUUGAUAAUUAUUUUUUCACCUUGGGGUUCAUACUAAUUUUGUUUGAUUUACUACUCUUUCUACCAAUCCUGCUAGACAGGAAAAAAAAAACAAAAACAAACACAAACACAAAACUUAAUCCAGUACAAAUUCAGUCCUUUUCUCUGUGCACUCAGGUAUAUAACAGUUACCUACAGAGAUAACAGUGAGAUAUGGACUAUCUGAGCUCAGCAUACGCUUAGGGGGGAGAUAAUCUGUUCUUAUCAGUAAUUCAUAAGAGAUGAAAGAUGACUUGGAAAAAUGGGGAUUUUUUCUGCCCUUCAAAUUCAAACUUUUUUUUUCUUUUUUCUUUUUUUUUUUUUUUUACUUUUUCUUUUACUAUGAAAAGAAGAUAUGGAGAAAGACAAUAAAAAUGCAAACUGGUAAGUAAUUCAAAAUGCGAACAUUUUCAUUCUAAGAAAUAAAAUGUAUGGAGUUUUAAUACCAAAAGAGAAAACUGUAGUAAUACAAUCUGAUCCCUCCUAUCACUCUUUCCUGUAACAAUUUCUAUCGAGACUGAAGCAAGUACAUACUUCUAGAAGUAACCUUUAUUUGAACAUUUCUACUUUACAGGGAAUCCACUCCAAUAAAAGGAAAAUUUGUGUCAAUAAUCAAUCAUUCUCACAGUUAAAAUCAGUAUGUUAUCA